UUACAUUUCUUACUUCAUGGGGUCCCACCGCAGGGAGCACACCAACCGCGGGGGGCCCACAACCGGUAUGGGGCCCUAAAUGGUGGGCCCCACACCGGUUUUCAUUCAAAAUGAGCUUUGCAGCCCCCCCUGAUGCCCCUCUUGCUUUUUUUUCACUUGGCCCACAAGGUCAGAAAAACUGGAAAUGUGUGUGUAAGUGUGUGUAAACUUUUUGCUCACUACCGCCCCCCGGAGCUUGUAAGGUGGAAGGUACGGACACACACACACCGGAAGUUUGUUUACACACUUCAGGAAGUGGGUAGGGUUUUAACAAGAAGAAGAGGAAGAUCAAGCUCAAGAUCGACAGCAUGCAACAGAGCCAUUAUGUCCAAAAGGAGGAGAAGGAUAAAGCCUGUAGAUGAUGCAAAGACAUAUAUUCUGUCUUGCACUGACAAGUCUGGAUUUAUGUCAAGACUCAUAGACAGUUUCAAAGGAAGAGGAGUGUUUGCUACGCAGCCCAUUGAACCAGGGGACUUUGUUUUGGAGUACAGGGGUAAACUCCUCACACAGGAAGAAUGCCGGUCACUACCGUACUCAGAGAUUGACUCCACAUUUCUCUUUGACUUUGAGUGGCAGAACCGUCACUUGUGGUGAGCAUGUAAAGAGAUGUUUUUUAUAGAUUAGAGAAAUU